rnacentral:misc_RNA from 1 species
CCCACACUUUACACAUGUUUACUCUCUCAUUCUCCGCCGUUCCGCAUCCUCCGUCGCGGCGGUGACGGGUCAUUGCAAUGCGCUUUUCGAGGCACGCUCCCAACGGGCGUCGACUCUCACCGACUUGACGGCCACCGUCGGCUUUGACCGCCCAGCACCCAGCUGUGGCGGAUCCGGCGCCCUGAGCCAACGUUGACCAACCCAACACCCAGGGCCAAUUAUCACCAGCCGACUGACCGAGCCGGUACCCGUCGUCACACGCCGGCGCCAGUCAGUCGUCACCAGCCGGCGCCAGCAGACUCAGCAGUCGUCACCAGCCGGCGCCAGCUCUCGUCAGCGCAGCGGCCAGCGCCAUGCUGCUGGGCCACGACCAGGCGUUCAGCAGGGUGGUGCUGACGCUGGCGGCCCUGCUGUCGGCCUACGUGCUGUUCUGGCUGCUGGGCCUGCCGUUCGUGGAGGAAAGGCACGCGCUGCGGCUGUGGUUCCCGUCGCCGCUCUGGCUGGUGGUGCCGACAGCGCUGCUGGUGCUGGUGCUGAUGUGUGCCGUCGCCUUGACUGUAGUCACCACCGGCUGGGACUGACCGAUGGCGGCGCAGGGCGGUGCGGCGGACCGGACGGCACGGAUGAAAGACCAGCGGCUUGUUUCGAUUGCGUUUGCCAAGUACUGCUACGGUAAUCCGGAUGGUUUGAUGAAAUCUGUUCACAUGAACGUAUGGUUCGCGGUGUUCUUGAUUAGAGUGCUGAUCGGUUGUGGUGGUGACACAGCAACGCGCUGUGUUGCGCGGCGUACGCACUUUGCUGCUGCGCCCAAGUCAUAACUGCCGUUGUAUACCUGUUGCGAAAUGUGAUAAGUUUGAUGGCUGCCCAUCUUGUUCGCAGGGUUGUAUAGACAUCCGAUCUCGGGUAGCCGAUGCCGGCCGUGCGUAAAGUCACGAUACCCACCGCUUCCGUGUUCAUCAAUAUAUCUUCCAUUUUAUAUGA